AGUGAACGCUGGCGGCAGGCCUAAUACAUGCAAGUCGAACGGCAGCACAGCAGAGCUUGCUCUGUGGGUGGCGAGUGGCGGACGGGUGAGGAAUACAUGGGAAUCUGCCCAGUCGUGGGGGAUAACGUAUGGAAACGUACGCUAAUACCGCAUGCGCCCUACGGGGGAAAGUCGGGGACCGCAAGGCCUGACGCGAUUGGAUGAGCCCAUGUUCGAUUAGCUGGUUGGCGGGGUAAAGGCCCACCAAGGCGACGAUCGAUAGCUGGUCUGAGAGGAUGAUCAGCCACACUGGAACUGAGACACGGUCCAGACUCCUACGGGAGGCAGCAGUGGGGAAUUUUGGACAAUGGGCGCAAGCCUGAUCCAGCCAUGCCGCGUGAGUGAAGAAGGCCU
rnacentral:rRNA from 1 species